rnacentral:rRNA from 1 species
UGGGGAAUUUUGGACAAUGGGGGCAACCCUGAUCCAGCAAUGCCGCGUGUGCGAAGAAGGCCUUCGGGUUGUAAAGCACUUUUGUUCGGGAAGAAAGCGCCUGGGUGAAUAUCCUGGGUGGAUGACGGUACCGGAAGAAUCAGCACCGGCUAACUACGUGCCAGCAGCCGCGGUAAUACGUAGGGUGCAAGCGUUAAUCGGAAUUACUGGGCGUAAAGCGUGCGCAGGCGGUUGGUUAAGACAGAUGUGAAAUCCCCGGGCUCAACCUGGGAACUGCAUUUGUGACUGGCCAGCUAGAGUAUGGCAGAGGGGGGUGGAAUUCCACGUGUAGCAGUGAAAUGCGUAGAGAUGUGGAGGAACACCGAUGGCGAAGGCAGCCCCUGGGCCAAUUACUGACGCUCAUGCACGAAAGCGUGGGGAGCAAACA